rnacentral:rRNA from 1 species
ACGGGCCCCGCACAAGCAGCGGAGCGUGUGGUUUAAUUCGAUGCUACACGAAGAACCUUACCAGGGUUUGACAUGCAAGUGGUAGGAAACCGAAAGGUGACCGACCCUUCGGGGAGCUUGCACAGGUGCUGCAUGGCUGUCGUCAGCUCGUGUCGUGAGAUGUUCGGUUAAGUCCGCUAACGAGCGCAACCCUCGCUGUGUGUUAUAUGUGUCACACGGGACUGCCGGUCUUAAGCCGGAGGAAGGUGGGGAUGAUGUCAAGUCAGCAUGGCCUUUAUAUCCUGGGCUACACACACGCUACAAUGGCCAGCACAGUAGGUUGCUAAGCCGCGAGGUGGAGCCAAUCCAUAAAGCUGGUCUCAGUUCAGAUUGCAGGCUGCAACCCGCCUGCAUGAAGAUGGAGUUGCUAGUAACCGCAGGUCAGCUAUACUGCGGUGAAUACGUUCCCGGGGCUU